rnacentral:tRNA from 14 species
GGCUGCAUGGUGGUGUAGUGGUUAGCACCUUCGGCUCACAGCAAGAAGGCUCUGGGUUCGUAUCCCGGUUCAACCA